CGCCAGGGUAUCCACCCUGCUCUUCCUACUCUGCGCUACAUCACUCGUCCUCCUUCUGGUCGAUGCCAAGAAGAGGAAAAAGAACCCAAAGUGCCCCGAGCUGGUAAUCAGAGACGCAGUACGGUAUGGCUGUUCACCGCCCUUCACGAAGGGAGAGUCCUGCUUCUACAGGUGUGAGCGCGGGUGUAGGAGGCGGGGAGGGGCCAGGAAAAGGACGUGCAAAAUCAGGCCGACUCGAUGGAUUGGAGGGCGCGGAUUAGAUUGUGCUUGCCAACCCCCCUGUACGAGCGCCCCUCCAGACGUACCGAACACGAUGGAUGAAAAGACCUGCACACCGCCCGACCCUCCCUACCGCUC